rnacentral:rRNA from 1 species
ACAGGAGACAAUAAGGGUGCACGGUGGAUGCCUAGGCUUGCGACAGCGAUGAAGGACGCGACUAAUCAGCGAAAUGCUUCGGGGAGACGAUUUGUAGUCUUUGAUCCGGAG